AUAGAGGUAUUCAACGCCAUGAAAGGUUAUGAUGGAGUACAAAUGGAGAAACAGCUUCCAAUGGCAGAAGGAUGCUGCUUGACAUCGGCCAUAGUCUCUGUAUUGGGCUCCAGGGUUUCGAUUACAGGCCUGCAUCUGCCAUCGCCAUUACCACAACCACAGAAUCCGAGCUGGAGCCAUGGGCUUGGUUUCAUAGCUCCUGUUCCCCAUCCAACACUCCUCCAGACAAUGCCGCCGGAUAUCUGAUGCUGGAGUCCUGGCUCCAGGCUCUUCUACUGUCGAUGCUGCAGGCCCUGUUAUGGUAACCACAAUGGGAGACGAAGCAUGCAACAAUAAAUACCAGGAGCUUUAUUUUAUACUCAAAAGACUCAUCCCCAGAACAUCUGGACAACAAAGACACCUACGUCAGACUCCUGCUUGUUGACUAAAGCUCCGCCUUCAACACCAUUAUCCCCUCCAGACUGAUCUCAAAACUGCGUGACCUUGAUCUCAGCUCCAUCCUCUGCAACUGGAUCCUCAGCUUUCUGAUCCAUAGGCCACAGUCAGUGAGGAUAGGAAACUGCACAUCCUCCACAAUAAUACUCAACACUGAGCCCCCAAGGAUGCGUCCUCAGCCCCCUACUGUAUGCCCUGUACACCUGCGACUGUGUUACCAAAUUCCGAAUGAAUGACAUCUACAAGUUAGUUGAUGACACCACCAUAGUGGGACGAAUAUCUAACACCGACGAGUCAAAAUAUAGAAGGGAGAUAGAGGGCUUGGCAACAUGGUGCAAUGAAAACAAUCUGUCUCUCAAUGUUGGCAAAACUAAAGAUCUGAUCAUUGACUUCAGAAAGAA